rnacentral:rRNA from 1 species
GAUGAACGCUAGCGGCAGGCUUAAUACAUGCAAGUCGUGGGGCAGCAUGAUGUAGCAAUACAUUGAUGGCGACCGGCAAACGGGUGCGGAACACGUACACAACCUUCCUUUUAGUGGGGAAUAGCCCAGAGAAAUUUGGAUUAAUACCCCAUAACAUAUAGAGAUGGCAUCAUCUUAAUAUUAAAGCUUCGGCGCUAGAAGAUGGGUGUGCGGCUGAUUAGGUAGUUGGCGGGGUAACGGCCCACCAAGCCUACGAUCAGUAGCUGAUGUGAGAGCAUGAUCAGCCACACGGGCACUGAGACACGGGCCCGACUCCUACGGGAGGCAGCAGUAAGGAAUAUUGGACAAUGGACGAAAGUCUGAUCCAGCCAUGCCGCGUGAAGGAUUAAGGUCCUCUGGAUUGUAAACUUCUUUUAUUUGGGACGAAAAAAGAUCAUUCUUGAUCACUUGACGGUACCAGAUGAAUAAGCACCGGCUAACUCCGUGCCAGCAGCCGCAGUAACAC